GAUGAAGAACGUAGCGAAAUGCGAUAAGUAAUGUGAAUUGCAGAAUUCAGUGAAUCAUCGAAUCUUUGAACGCACAUUGCGCCCGCCAGUAUUCUGGCGGGCAUGCCUGUUCGAGCGUCAUUUCAACCAUCAAGCCCCCGGCUUGUGUUGGGGACCUGCGGCUGCCGCAGGCCCUGAAAACCAGUGGCGGGCUCGCUAGUCACUCCGAGCGUAGUAAUACAUCUCGCUCAGGGCGUGCUGCGGGUUCCGGCCGUUAAAAAGCCUUAUUUACCCAAGGUUGACCUCGGAUCAGGUAGGAAGACCCGCUGAACUUAAGCAUAUCAAUAAGGA
rnacentral:misc_RNA from 1 species